AAUGUGGCAGCAGACAAGUUCACAGUGGCCCUGGGGCUUCCUCAAUCCAUCUCUUCCCCACCCCCAAAAAAACCUGCUUCUGCCGUCGGGACAAGCUCAAGCUAGUUGUUGGAGGAUGAGAGGCCACACAGAGGAGACUUGAGGCGCCUCAGCCCACAGCCCGCCCAGCCCUCAACCAUGGAAAACGCUAGCCUGGACCUGGAGGAUCACCCUACCCCAUCCUCUGCUGACCAAAAACACAAGAACAAUGAUUGAUAUGGAUUGUUCCAAGCCACUGACUGUUGGGGUGAUUUGUUAAGCAGUGAUCAACGACCCAUAUCUACCACCAAGGCUGGCGGGCAGGGGCAUUAUCAUGGCUCACUGCAGCCUUGACCUCCUCUCGGGCUCAAGCAAUCCUCCAUAUUAGCCUACUGAUUAGCUGGGACUACAAGUGCUUGCCACCACUCCCAAAUAAUUUUUAUAUUUUUUGUAAAGACAAGGUUUCUCCAUAUUGCCCAGGCUGGUCUUGAACUCCUGAGCUCAAGCAAUCUGCCCGCCUCGACCUCCCACAGUGCUGGGAUUACAGAAUAAACAGCAGAAGAACAGAACCAUGUUCGGCUCUACAGCCACCGCUGCCAAAGCCUGGGCAACACUCAAGAAUGCGAACAAAUCCCAGGUCGGCACUGCCUGAUCCAGACCCUGGGGUCCUCGUCCUCCUGCCCAGCAUGGGGUGCUGGCUGUGCUGAGGCUGCGGCCAGGACUACAGGGACGGAGUUGUGUGAUUAGAUCCUGGAUGGAGCUGGAUGGAACCGAAUAUCUUAAUUCUAAAAAGAUUUCCAGAAAAUCAUACCGACCAGAGGACAUCCAGCCCAGCUUAACACAGACGACGACCACUCAAGGUGAGACGCAGCCCUUGGCCCCAGCUUCCCAUGGGCAGGGAGCCAGCCGAGCCCCUCAGAGGCGUUCCCCAAGGCUCUGCAGAUGCGGCCCAGGAAGAUGCAGGAAAAGAAGGACAGCCCAGUGUCUGGGGCCCCUCCCAGGGCGAAGAACCGGCAUUCCUACCGCAGCCCAGGCUGACGCUGCAGCCAGUCCCGGGGCAUUUUAGAGUCCCCAGGGACCGGUAACUGCUGUGGGUCCCCUGAUUCCCCUUCUAGUUGGGCGCAUUUACCGAGACAAGCCUGUCCCCGGCUCGGUGCUGUGUGGGGCCCAGCAGGGCUGGUCACUCGUCUUAGUGCCCAAGGCUCCAGGUUAAGAGGAGCCACGUGAGCCACGAUGGUCAUCACCAGAUGCUGGGUGCCGUGCUCGAAGCCAGGACCGGCUGAGGCUUUCGGGGGUUGCAUGUUUUGCAUGCAUCAGUGAAGGAGACAUUUGUGACCCACUACUGGGGCAGGUGGUUUCACUUUCCCACCAUUAUGUCCAGAAUUGGUAGGUUCUUGGUCUCACUAACCUCAAGAAUGAAGCCGUGGACCCUCGUGGUGAGUGUUACAAUUCUUAAAGAUGGUGUGUCCGGAGUU